rnacentral:rRNA from 1 species
UACGUAGGGGGCUAGCGUUGUCCGGAAUCACUGGGCGUAAAGCGCACGUAGGCGGCUUUCUAAGUCAGGGGUGAAAUCCUGGAGCUCAACUCCAGAACUGCCUUUGAUACUGGGAAGCUCGAGUCCGGGAGAGGUGAGUGGAACUCCGAGUGUAGAGGUGAAAUUCGUAGAUAUUCGGAAGAACACCAGUGGCGAAGGCGGCUUACUGGACACAUAUUGACGCUGAGGUGCGAAAGCGUGGGGAGCAAACAGG